rnacentral:tRNA from 1 species
GUGGCUCAAUUGGCAGAGCAGCUGAUUUGUAAUCAGCAGGUUAUCGGUUCGAGUCCGAUCA